GGAGAGUUAAACUUACCCAUGGGAAGGGCUAGGUUUAGUUAGAUUUGUAGUUACAGAAAUGCACCAAGAUGUGUCCAUAUGUAGUCUAUUUGGCUUAUAUGGAUAUCAAGGACCAAUUAUUGCAUUGUCUACGUAUUAAAAAACAAACGUACCUAGUGCUCUUAAUAUACUAUCUUGAUAAUAUCACCAAUUUAAUCUUCAGUACGGUUUAGUACAUAUAAUGAAUGAUAAUUUAAACAAAAUAAGUACUUAAACCUAUAACAUAUAUAUGCAUUCUUUGAUUGUUGCAAAGACAAGAAAAGUGUAAUUGUGUAAGGGAAGGCAAAUUCGUGCAAAACCACACGUUUCAAUCUGAAUAUUUCGCUCACUAACCAACUAUAAAUGUAGUAUAUGUAUAUGCAUAUUUGAUCUUAUUUGUUGAAAAGCUCUAAUAAAGUUAAACUUUUUUCUUAUCUAUGUGAACUCUAGAUAUGGCAAGAAAACAUUCUCAAGAAGAUACCUGAGACCUAGGAAAAGAUAAAAAAAGCCAAACGUGGACGUGGGAUUGCUUGUUUUUCAAAGAAGAUACCCGAGCACAAGAAGCAUAUAUAUUUUGAUAAAAAUAACGAACGAUAUUCGGGUUCAUAGGUCAUACUAGGGUUCAUGGAGGACUAUAUAAAAAUGUGAGCCAAGACUCAAUACCACAAGUACACACGAGGCCAACCUUUUGUGGCUCUAGCUAUGGGUCUAAUGGACGGGUCCACUAUCCGCCAAUCAUGAGUCACACCGAAUGUGAGUUGUUAAUGAAUAUGGCUGAUAUGUUAGAGACGGUGGCUUAUGGUAUGGCAUGGCCUAGCACGUCAACGAUGAUAGGUUCUAGCCCAAUAUCUGAGGGUCGUGUCAAGGUGGAAGUGGAUGAUGUCGUUAAUAAACAUAAGAAGUCGGAAUUUUAUUCAGUCACCAAAACAAGUGAAAUUAAAUUGGUUGAAGAUUUGGUUCUUUAAUAUGUUCAAUGGCCAAGAUAAUGCAAUAAGGGUAUAAUAUAAAUAUAUUUUAGUAUAUCAAUAGUUACAAUAUUUUUUUUUUAAAUUCUCUUAAGAAUGAAGGGACACAGCAUGUCACAUAACACCCCCAUUGUGAACUCACGCUGUGGGUCACAAUCAUAGAGGUGCCUCACCAUUGGUAGCAGACUCAAUAAUACAUGAUCAUGACACCACAAUGACUUCAGCUUAUCAUCCACAGUUACAAAUGGUCGCUGACCCAUUUAAUCUUAUAUCUUUGGUUAAUUUAGUUAUAUUUGUUAGUGUCCAGACAUUUUGUUUGUUAUUUAGAUUA